rnacentral:lncRNA from 1 species
AAAAAGAAUCCUAUGGAAAAGAAAAAGAACAAAAGGAAGGUCGAAAGAGUUGACCAUCAUCUUCUUGCUCAUACUCCAUCAAUAUCUCUAACUCUACCAUAUUAAAGUUUUGUCUUCUUCAAACAUACCUCAAACCAUUACAAACAUUGAAGCUUGCUUCUUUGUCCCAUAACCAACUUCAACUCACCUCAUCAUUUAACGGUCGAGAUCUAAGAAUCAGUUCAUCACCGUUACAACUUUGAUCUCUCUUUUAGAGCCAACAUGAGCAUUUGAAUUUGUGUCUACGAUCAAGGAUUUAGAUGGGUCGGGCAGCCUGUUUCAAAGUUGAGAAAUAAAAGAAAAAGUUGCAUCAAAGAGCAAUAACAAAACUGUUUCGACUUAGAUUUCACUAAUUAUUCAACCAGCAACAACAAAGCUUCAACCCCAUUGUUGACAAUGUAAUGCCGGUAACUUUCUUAUCGUUUCUCUUCGACUUCGUUUACAUUAUUUUGCUCUGAUAUUGUUUUCAGUUUGGAUUCAAUUAUAUUGAUUGCUUGUUGUGUUGCUAUGGAAAUAGUUUCGAUUUAAUUAUGUGUCGUUGGAUUUUCGGAUAUUUAAAGUUAAUGUUGUAAGCAUACGUGCGUCAUAUCGACUUUUUUUUNN